rnacentral:rRNA from 1 species
UUCCUACGGGGCGCAGCAGUGAGGAAUAUUGGUCAAUGGACGCAAGUCUGAACCAGCCAUGCCGCGUGCAGGAAGACGGCUCUAUGAGUUGUAAACUGCUUUUGUACGAGGGUAAACGCAGAUACGCGUAUCUGUCUGAAAGUAUCGUACGAAUAAGGAUCGGCUAACUCCGUGCCAGCAGCCGCGGUAAUACGGAGGAUUCAAGCGUUAUCCGGAUUUAUUGGGCGUAAAGCGAGUGCAGGCGGUU